CAGCACCUCAAGUGGUCAGGAUGAUUAUUGGGCCUAAAGCAUCCGUAGCCGGCGCUGUAAGUUUUCGGUUAAAUCUGUACGCUCAACGUACAGGCUGCCGGGAAUACUGCAGCGCUAGGGAGUGGGAGAGGUAGACGGUACUCGGUAGGAAGGGGUAAAAUCCUUUGAUCUAUUGAUGACCACCUGUGGCGAAGGCGGUCUACCAGAACACGUCCGACGGUGAGGGAUGAAAGCUAGGGGAGCAAACCGGAUUAGAUACCCGCGUAGUCC
rnacentral:rRNA from 1 species